GUUUUUGUCUUCACUUACAUUUCCUUUAACCCUCUGGAGAUGUUCUUAUGUUCAGUGGUUUGGUGGUUGGACGCUGUACAUGUGUGAACUUCAGCUCAAAUUCUCCUACAAAAAAGUACUGAUCAUUUUAGUCUAAGAGCAAACCCGAUUCAAGUGUUUUAUAAGGAUUUGUUCUUUUCCAGGUAAAUAUCAUUCAUUCAGGUACGAAAGUAAACAGCCACGGCUAUUUAAAAAGAAGCGAUAGGAGAGCUACCUCUGUUUGGAGCGAUUAAAGGAAAGAGAUAUAUAUCGGUGAUAAUUGACAUGUCACAGGGAGUGGAGGGCUGGUUCUGCUUGGCUUCAGAAUCAUACUGGAUCUGUUAUUUGUUUUUCCAUCUGUUCGGAAUAAAAGAGGGAGGCUCUGUUGUCUCUGAGACAGCUGUGAUGUCAGAGAUGGAGAAAGAUUGGACGGCUGUGGAGGAUUGUAGGGAUGAGAUAUGCAUCAACCACCCAAAUCCGAUGGGAAACCACGGCAUGCUGUCAUCUGUUCAGACGGAGUGACAUUUGUCUGCAUGGUUUCUGCCAGGAAUCUGCACAAGCCAGUUCUCACCCUCGGACGGGACGCCCACGGACCCUUCGCAGACUUUCUGAUGAUUACUACAAGUCAAACAUUUUCAAAAUCGUAAAACACUUUGCCUGAGGAGAACUAACCAGGUUAGUGGCAUUAGGGCUUUGACAGAUAUAAUGUUCUUGCAUCUAAAUAAGAGAGAUGGAUAUAAAAUAACCAUUACUCCAGUCUAAAGUGUCUGCUCAAGAAACAUUUCUGAUUAUUAUCAAUGUUGAAAACAGUUGUGCUGCUGAAUAUUUUUGUGGAAACCUUGAUGCAUUUUAUUUUUCAGGAUUCACAGAUGAAUAGAAAGUUCAAAAGAACAGCAUUUAUUUGAAAUAGAAAUCUUUUGUAACAUUAUAAAUAUCUUCACUGUCGUUUGAUCAAUUAAAUGCAUCCUUGCUGAAUAAAAGUUAUUUAUUUAUUUUAAUUAUUUAAAAG
ensembl:lncRNA